GUGAUUCCGGCGGCACGUUAACUUUAAAUUGGAGCAUUAUAGAGAAGUUAGCAUGGCCGCUGCGCAAGGAUGACGCGCAAAAGAAGGAAUGGCGUCUUUGACUA